UUUUAUGGAGAGUUUGAUCCUGGCUCAGAGUGAACGCUGGCGGCGUGCCUAAUACAUGCAAGUCGAACGAUGAAGCUUCUAGCUUGCUAGAGUGCUGAUUAGUGGCGCACGGGUGAGUAACGCAUAGGUCAUGUGCCUCUUAGUUUGGGAUAGCCAUUGGAAACGAUGAUUAAUACCAGAUACUCCCUACGGGGGAAAGAUUUAUCGCUAAGAGAUCAGCCUAUGUCCUAUCAGCUUGUUGGUAAGGUAAUGGCUUACCAAGGCUAUGACGGGUAUCCGGCCUGAGAGGGUGAACGGACACACUGGAACUGAGACACGGUCCAGACUCCUACGGGAGGCAGCAGUAGGGAAUAUUGCUCAAUGGGGGAAACCCUGAAGCAGCAACGCCGCGUGGAGGAUGAAGGUUUUAGGAUUGUAAACUCCUUUUGUUAGAGAAGAUAAUGACGGUAUCUAACGAAUAAGCACCGGCUAACUCCGUGCCAGCAGCCGCGGUAAUACGGAGGGUGCAAGCGUUACUCGGAAUCACUGGGCGUAAAGAGCGCGUAGGCGGGGUAGUCAGUCAGGUGUGAAAUCCUAUGGCUUAACCAUAGAACUGCAUUUGAAACUACUAUUCUAGAGUGUGGGAGAGGUAGGUGGAAUUCUUGGUGUAGGGGUAAAAUCCGUAGAGAUCAAGAGGAAUACUCAUUGCGAAGGCGACCUGCUGGAACAUUACUGACGCUGAUUGCACGAAAGCGUGGGGAGCAAACAGGAUUAGAUACCCUGGUAGUCCACGCCCUAAACGAUGGAUGCUAGUUGUUGGAGGGCUUAGUCUCUCCAGUAAUGCAGCUAACGCAUUAAGCAUCCCGCCUGGGGAGUACGGUCGCAAGAUUAAAACUCAAAGGAAUAGACGGGGACCCGCACAAGCGGUGGAGCAUGUGGUUUAAUUCGAAGAUACACGAAGAACCUUACCUAGGCUUGACAUUGAGAGAAUCCGCUAGAAAUAGUGGAGUGUCUAGCUUGCUAGACCUUGAAAACAGGUGCUGCACGGCUGUCGUCAGCUCGUGUCGUGAGAUGUUGGGUUAAGUCCCGCAACGAGCGCAACCCCCUUUCUUAGUUGCUAACAGGUUAUGCUGAGAACUCUAAGGAUACUGCCUCCGUAAGGAGGAGGAAGGUGGGGACGACGUCAAGUCAUCAUGGCCCUUACGCCUAGGGCUACACACGUGCUACAAUGGGGUGCACAAAGAGAAGCAAUACUGCGAAGUGGAGCCAAUCUUCAAAACACCUCUCAGUUCGGAUUGUAGGCUGCAACUCGCCUGCAUGAAGCUGGAAUCGCUAGUAAUCGCAAAUCAGCCAUGUUGCGGUGAAUACGUUCCCGGGUCUUGUACUCACCGCCCGUCACACCAUGGGAGUUGUGUUUGCCUUAAGUCAGGAUGCUAAAUUAGCUACUGCCCACGGCACACACAGCGACUGGGGUGAAGUCGUAACAAGGUAACCGUAGGUGAACCUGCGGUUGGAUCACCUCCUUUCUAGA
rnacentral:rRNA from 1 species